rnacentral:lncRNA from 1 species
UAGAAAAGGCUUUCUCAUUUGCUUCCCAGAUUGUUUUAGUUUGGACAGUGACUAUCGUACACACAUGUAUAAUGCAGAAUUAUCAGCUUUGCAGGCAAUUUUUAUUCUUAUUUUUUAAAAUGAAUCCAAGUUUGGAUAACCAGGUAAUUCUCCAGACUCCUCCACAGGAGUACAUGUCAACCUUUUCUAGUCAUAUUCAAAGAUACAGCCAUCAAGAAGUCUCAACUCAUACUUUUCUUACCACUUUUUAAGAGGAAAGCUAGAAUAGAACGUUUGGAAAAAGGUCCCAUACUAGGCCAAGCCCAUAUGCUUUACAGCGCUAGGCUUAGAUUGGGCCAAUUUGCGUCCCAUGACUGGUUUAACUUAGGCCCAUCUGCCUCCCAGGUAAGCACAAUGCUAACAAGAAACUGGGCAAACAGGCGAUUCAGGACACUGAAGUGUCACAUUGACUAGACUAAAUAAGAGCACAGGUACCAUCACAUCAUUAUAAUGCCGAAGCUAUAGUAUCAGUUCUACGCUACAUAGUCAUUCUUUAAGAGGACAGCAAGAUAACGUAACAAGAGAAGAGGUUCAUACUGACGACAUGCAACUUGCUUGGACACAAAAUUCAGGCGCAAUCUCGUGAACAAUCGUCCGAUUCGUUCCACCCGAGCUUCUCUGGUAAUAGCCAUGUCUGGUGUCGCCACCAUGGUCUAGGUCACUAGCUCACUCGCACUUGAUGGAGCGGUAAAUGUGCCGCACAAAUAGCAGUGACGCACGGAAACCAACUGUGCCCAGCAUCAGGAAGAAACCGUAGCAGACACAGGUCAUGUAGCCGAAGAAGAAGGACGUUUGCAUGAAGCCUGACAUGUCUGACCGGGCAUGGUAGUAGUAGAUGCAGUAGAAGAAGAUGAAUAUGCCAGUGGAGCCUCCACAAAGGACAGAUCUGCAAAUAGAAGGAAAAACUUUCAUUCCACAGGCACAAACAAAAAACAUGUGAUGCAAGGAAGCAUUAGGUCUGAGUAAUAGAAUCCGAGAAUAUGGAACAUGGUUUCCUAAUAUGUAAUGUGUUUUCUCCUGAAGUGCCUCUCAAGUUCUGUUGUUUGUAGUAAGUGUUUUAUGUAUAACUAGAAGCAUUACUAUAGAUAACUUUCAAACACAAACAGUGGAUCUAUGCUCAUUGCUCAUUAUAGCAUAGUACUGAAUACUGAUCUAGCAUGCCAUGUACCAAAUAGUUGCUGAACUGCAUGUUUUUCUACAGUUUAAAUUUUGGUUUGGAUCUGUGGUCAUGAGCAAACAUAACAGAGAAGUAACCAAGUAAAUAUGACAAGAAACAAAAACAUUAACAUAUGAGGAUAAAAGCAUCAAGAUGAAUAAAUGUCCUGAACACUGACCUCCACCACCACUUGUGAUCCUCAACAGCAAGCUGGAAGUAUGUGAGGGCCACUGUGACAAACGCAGUGACGAUGAUGAGGAUAAUGAAGACAAUGAAGAGGAUGCUGUAGAUGGUGUAUAUCUUAUGCCCCCAGAUGCUGGCAAAUAUGUAGUACAGCUCAAUGUAAAUAGCACUGAAAGGGAGGAACCCUGCCAUUGCCAUCUGAGGAAUGGUGCUUCGGUACCAGGGCAGCUCAGGGAUUUCCCUAGGAUACUUGGUUGUGCGGCAGGGAGCUUGGAACUCUGUAUUGCUAUUUUUCCCAGCUAUACCACCUAGCACUAGCAGGGGAGAGGUUACAAGUGCCCAAAUGAGAAUAAUGACAAUGAUAGUACCGAAAGGCAAAGCUGCUGUGGCACUAUAUGCUAUUGCAACGGUGUUUAGGAAGGAGAAUGUCAAGAAAAGCGGGCCACAGAACAAGCAGCCAGUCAAUAUCAGAUUCCUCACCUGAAACAUAAAGGCAGAACAUGUCAAACACAGCACCAAAGACUUGAAGAAACCAACCAAUAAUGGAUGCCUUACCCAGUUUGUUCCUUCCAGCUGAAGAUAGAAGGAAGUGGCUGUGUAUCCAGCAAUACCAGAUGUAAGAGCGUAGAUGACAACAAGGGCAGUAAAAAGGGCUCCUCUGUUGUAUGGAUAGAAGACGCCAACAAUUGCAAGGAGAAAGAUGAAAAUUGCACUAUCGAACAAGAAGAAUUUGUUACUUGUUAGAUCAUUACAACAUAGUUUAGAUCAUAGAUUAAACAGACCCAGUAAGUUCUUACAGGGCAAGAAGCUGAGAACCAGAUCCAAUAAUCGCUGCAAAAAGAGAUUUUUGCUGCGGAAAACGGAAGACGUCACCAUGUAUAUACUUCCAUCCAGUCUCUUCCUGGUCUUCAAGGGACUCAUCUUCAUGGGAAUAUCUUCAACAAAAGUGAGGCAUUAAGAAUGAUGUUAGUAAAGCUGUACAAUCCAUGCAACAACAAUGGAAUGUAUUGAUUAAGGUCUUACUUGAUGAAAUCGUUCUUGAGCACACGCAUCAGGAUUGUUGCCAGAAAGCCAGUCAGGAGAAGUACAGUUACACAUGAGUUGAUGAUGGAAAACCAAUGGAUCUCUAGGUGUUGCGGCAUAGAGGAAGACUUGGAGUAUUUUUCCAUUCUUUUCUCAAAAGGAAUAUCCGUCUUUUUCCAUGCUACUGAAUAAGAGAAUUCUACUGGUACUUCCUUGUCCUCUGUGAUAUCUACAGCCACAUUCGGGUCUGUUUGGACAUUAAUUUCUACGACACGGUCAUUGUUGUACAUGAUGUCAAAGUGGAUGUGCUUAAAAAGAAGGUACUUUCCAGCCCCUUGCUCCUUAUCCUUCUCCAGUUUACCAAGGAAUCCCCAUAAUGGCAGGUCAUCAUAGUACAUCUGGAAGUAGUAAUCCUUUGCAACUGCAUCCCGGAGCUUGGCAACUUCCUCCUUGGACAAUGUUUUCUUGCAGAGAGUCUUGGAGUUCUUAUCUUCCUUAAAGUUCAACUCGUAUGGUGCAUCAACCAACCGAUCACCGUUUAGAACCUCCCCGAGAGCCUCCUUUUUGUCCUUCGGGUGUUCUAUUACAGGCCCAGCAGCAGUUAAUAAGAAAGAGAAAUGACUUGGGCAUAAACCAACAAAGAGAUUGCUAAAUAAAGCAAGUAACAUAAAGGCAUGCGGCAUUAGAAGAAAGCUCACAAACCUGGUGCACAAAAGGGUAGAUCAUAGUAGCGGUAUGUCUCACUGCAACACACAAAGAGUAACUCAAUUAUUGAUCUAAAGAAAAGUAAAUCAAUUUUAACAAGUGCCGAUUAAGUAACAGAACAUGGUUGCAGUCCUAUUGUAGAAUUGUUUUUUGAUGUACUUGAAUUGUGACUCGAAAAAAAAAGAGGUACUUGAAUUUUGAAAUACUGAAAUUACCGUACAGUUCAUGUGGCGUUUUUGUCAGGCCAGCAGAGAGCUACUUUGGGUAUGAUAGAGCUAUCCAUACUAUUUACUACUCCCUCCGAUCCAUAAUAAGUGUCACGUUGUACUAUAUCAGCGACACUUAUUAUGGAUCGGAGGUAGUAUCGUGCAAGUGAAUUACAGAACUUAUGUACCAACUACUCUAGCUCCCUCUCCUGGCACUGACAAACCCCGCACUUGCAGACUUUGGCAACUCAUAGCUACAAGUAACACCCACCGCCAGAAAUGCUUAGAAUCAAUUUAGCAGUAACACCAUUCCAACUUAACCACAGUUACCGGCAAAAACACCAAACCAAGUCCUAAGUCCUAACUCAUCCAUCUCUACCCAGACAAUGUACUCUUCACACAGUGCAAGGGCGAGACAACCGACAUGAACUACAAAUCGCAAGAGUAAAGACAACAGACAAACGUCGAUCCCUGGUUGCCGAGCACCGCAGCAGAAUUAUACCUUGGGUUGUGGAAAGGGCCGACCUUGUUGGCGUAGAGCGGGACACGAUCUCCCUCCUUGUACCGGUGGUCGGAGCCGUCGGCAGCAGCCCCCAGCAGCACACAGGCCAGAACCGCCACCGCAAGAGCAGCAAUCGCUCUCGCCAUCUCUUCCUCAGCCAGCACCUACCACGACCCCGAGUUCCAAAGGGCGGCGGAUCUAAGAUGACGCGCCCCGAAAUUCCGAGGAGGUCAGUUCGGGUUUAAGAAAUCAGUGGAGGAGGAUGAGUAAAACGAGCUCGUACCUCAAGGAGACCCAGCCAAAGGCCCGAGAUUGCGGACGGACGGGGCGGCGGAGAGACGGCAGGGGGGCCGCGAUCUCGCGACGAGGCAGGACGGGGGACGGUGAGGAGGCACCGGCGGUGACACUAGGAAGAGUUGCGGCGUCGGCUGGUGGCGGCGGAGCGGCGAAGGGGCUAAAGGGGAGAAUUUAGAGCCGCAUUGGGGGAGAGGGAUCGGAGCUCGGGUAGGUCAAACCAUGAGAGGGAGGAGAGUCGGAAGGUGCGUGCGAGAGAAUGCGAGAUGGCGGAGAGGAAAAAACGCCGUGGAGGAGAUGACGUUUUUGACUAGGGAUCGGAGAAUUGACGAGUACAGUACAGAUUUGGUAACAUAUAAAACGAGAAAUAAAAAUAAAUACUGUAUAUAAACUUGCUCGACAAAAUAAUAGUACUUUCUCCGUCCCAAAAUAAGUGAGUCACCACAUUUUAUUAGCUUAGUCCGAGUGAAAUAUUGACUUGCAAGUACUCCAUCCGUCACAUAUUAAAUGUCACGACUCUGUCUAAAUAUGCAUGUAGUGUCUAGAUACAUGUGUAUUUAGAAAAAGUUGCGACACUUAAUAUGAGACAGAAAAAGUACUAUUAUUUAAGCAUUAAAGACUAUUGUUACUUAAGUUGACAAUUAAUCUAAUACUAGCAGUGUUAUCUCUUAUGUAAAUUUUUGGCGAUUAAAUUGAUAACACGUGGUUUUUUUUUAUCGGGAUUACACGUGGUUAUUGUGACACAAAAGUGGUAGCACUGGUUUGUAUAAGAAAUAUUUUUUCAAUGGUAUAAUAGAGCAUAUAUUUUUUCUGUGCCUAUUUGUUGGUCAAAGUUCAGCAUAAGUUCAUUCCAGAGUAUUUUGCAACAAAGUAUUACACAAAUUAGGUAUUCCAUCGAGAUGACUUUUGUUUUGCAGGACGGCAUUCAAAUUCCAUCUUAUCGGACGGUACAUCAUUUAAGCUAUUCAAGAGGUUGUUUCCGGUGCCAGGAAUUAUUACCGUAUUUAAUUGUGCUGGCACGAACGUUCUUUAGUUGUGUGUGUCAUUGUAACCGAAUUAGGCUUGAACAUCAAGGUGAAAACAAAAGAUCUCAAUAAAAGUGCACAUAUGACUACUUUCUUUGUUACUAAAUAUAAGACGUCUUAGUUUUGUCCUAAGUCAAACUUCUUCAAGUUUGACCAUGUUCUUUAGUUGUGUGUGUCAUCGUAACCGAAUUAGGCUUGAACACCAGGGUGAAAACAAAAUAUCUCAAUAAAAGUGCACAUAUAACUACUUCCUUUGUUACUAAAUAUAAGAAGUCUUAGUUUUGUCCUAAGUCAAACUUCUUCAAGUUUGACCAUGUUUAUAGUAAAAUCUACUAAGAUUUAGAAUAUCAAAUAAAUACUAUGAAAAUAUAUAUCAUGGUAGAUUUGAUAAAACUAUUUCAGAGUUGUAGAUGUUGCUAGAUUUAUUUUCUAUAAACCUGAUCAAAUUUGAAAAGGUUUGAGUUAGACAAAGUUUGGAUUUUUACUUUUAGGAGUAGUAAACAAAGUGCACCAAGAGACGCUUCUCUCCCUACGUACCAUCCAGUGCACACCACACCCAUAUAGCGAGAAAGUGUAGGUGGAGAUUCAGAGUCAGCGAUGUGGUUAUUUGAGUCUUUGAGGAGAAGCUCUGAAAGAUUUAGUAGCUCAGAGGUCAUAAAAGGACAAAUAAUGGAAAUAUGUAUAGGUGUAUUUUUCCAUUAACUUACUUUUAUCAUGGAGUUUGGCAGGUUUGCAUCCAAAUUGUAGCUGACCGUUUGACACGAUGGGAAAGUUUACCUACUCCCUCCGUCCAACAAAAGAUGUCUCAAGUUUGUCAAAAUUUGAAUGUUACACAUGACUUAGUGUAUAGAUGCAUUCAAAUUUAGUCAAAAUCAAUACAUCUUUUGUUAGACAGAGGAAGUAAAACAAUUUUGUGUCGUUAGAAAAACACACAAGUGCAGUGAAGUCGAAGCCUAGAUAGAUUACAAAAUAGUCAAAUUGCAUAUCAGGGUCAAUCAAUCUGCUUACCGCUUGAUCUAGACAUUCAAAAUCAGAAAAAGUCAAACAAGACGUGCAAUAUACAAUUAGAGAUGUCAGUACGGCGUGUAUGCCAUCAUUGCCAUGCAUGCGUGUAAACAAAUUCAAGUACUCUUCCCUAGAACCGAUUCGAGAUAAUACAUACUACUCCUGUACGUUUGCAUGCUAGUAGUAGUAAGCAUGUAGAAACAUGCAUAUCAAGUACUGGUAGUGCUGCAUGCUAAGUAAAUGUUGCCAUUGUCAUAUACCACUGCAUCCUACGGAGUACUAUUUUCGCCAUCAUGGCUUGGGUUCAAUAAUCCUCACAGCCGUGUUAAUGAAUUGCACGACGUAACUUAAGAUACGACACAAAAGAGAUAUUGUCACAUUUAUAUUGGAAAACUCUAUCUAAUGGUAUAAUUUUUAUAUACAUAUCUUCAAUGUAUUUUUUAUAAAAGUUUGGCACAAAACCCAACAGAGACCUUAUAAAUCCCAACAGAGAUAGUAUUUCUGUUCCGAAUUAAAUGACAUUUUCGAAACUAAUUUAAUUAUUCAAAACUUCAUUUAAUUCGAUGCAUGUGGAUCCCACAUAUCUGCAAGAGUGACCUUUCUAGGCCAACCUUCAAUUCUUCAAGCCAAAUUUCGAACAAAUUGUUUGAACCAGAUAGCUGAAAGCGGGACAUAACCGACGUCCUGCGCUUGCAUCCCUAGAUAUGUUAAUUCUGAUAGUGAAAACAGAAAACAGAAGCAAGGACUAACUAAAUGGAUUGAGAUUGAGCUAGCCAUGUCCCGCGAUUCAUGGAGGAACACGUGCCUUUGCACCUCCAAAACAAAACUACGAAAGUGUGUUAUCAAAAGGCUAAUUGGAGUGUCAGCCACGACAAAGUGGGCAAAAAAAAAAGGAGAGACAUAUGAGAGCGACCAUGCAAAGAGAUUGCACCGCUGGUAAUAUUAGCCAUCUGUUGGACGCACUGGCAAACAAGCAAGCAAGCAACGUGCAGAGAUCCUAGUCGUGCCAGCCUCAACCAAAGAAGAGCUUAGCGAGCUAGCAUCCAUGAUCUGUUCCUCUCCUUUGCUACCGUCACUCCUCAUCUCCUACACAUGGAUGACAUGUUACUUUUGCUUGCCUUUUCUUCUUUCAGCCCCUACCAGCUCCACACAGAAUGUGCCAGGUGGGUUAAUUAGUUUUGACCUUUGACUAUUGAAAGCUAAGGUUAAGCUCCACAAACCCAACACUCUCGCCGUUUUGAAACAUGGUCGGAUUAAUUUACGUAAUACAAGCAUAUAUUAUAUUUCUAUGUUGUUAACGAUUGCGAAAAAGUAGAAGCUCUGUGUCAUCGUCCAUCGGGUCAGCUAGCGAUCAUUCCAUCGUUCAACAUGACCGAUCGAUCAUUAGCAAGGAAUUACAUCGAUCUCUGUUUCUCUAAAAGACAUGUUGAAUUAGCAUUGCAUCUUUACUGAUGUGUUUCACAAAAGAUGGCUAAGACUGUUUGUUCCUCCUCCCCGGUUGCUCAAGAAAGUCAGAGCAGGAGGAACAAAUGUCCUAAACCAUCCCACGUGAGGUCCUUGUCUAUUCCAAAUCUCCCUCUAAGACCAUUUCAAAGCAACACUUAUUAAGAUUUCGCAAAAGGGAGAAAAUAAAUAAAUUCCAUUAAUGUUUUGUUCGAUUUCAUAAAUGACAAAUCUCAUCAAGGUCUUACUAUCAAUGUUCCAUCCCUGUUUCAAAAAAAAAAUGUGGUCUCAAUCCCAUCACGACUCUCGAGUGCGACAUGGAUUGCGAUCCACAGAGUUGUUUUUAGCAGCAUUUCCACAUCAAAUAAAGAUAGACAAAGAAAGAAGGAUAAAGAUAAUACCUGCGAGCCAGGUGGAUCACGCGGCCCCACAUGUCGGCCCCACGUGACACGCCGGCCUGCCUGAUGGCGCGUAGUAGUAGCUAUUUUCUGCAAAAGCAAAAGCGUGGAUUUUGGGCGGAGGGAUCGUCCGUCGUCCCCAAUAAUGCCGUGACAAGCAGCCAACGAACGCCUCUUUCCGAGAUCUCAUCCCCCACCUUGUCUCUUUCCCCUUCCUCCCCAGCGAAUCACAAUCGCCCCUUCUUGACCCCUUCCAAUUCCGAUCCCGUUUCGCGACAAGCCACCGCUUUCUUGGCUGGUUCUUCCGGAUUGGAGACAAAAAAGCCGCCGCCGCUGCUGCUCCUGCCAUUGCUGCUGCUUCCUGGCGUGAUUGGGACUAAAAGAGGCAACCAGGGCUCGAUUCGAGGCAAGCUUGUUUUCGGAUCCAGGGCGGGAAGGGACUGGAUUGGCGGUGUGUUGUCGGUCUUGUUGUUGUUGUUGUUGUUGUUGUUGCUGUUCUUGGCAUGAGCGUAGGGGAAGAUGGGGCUGGACUACUACAACGUGCUCAAGGUGAACCGGGGCGCCACGGAGGACGACCUCAAGAAGUCGUACCGGCGGCUGGCCAUGAAGUGGCACCCCGACAAGAACCCCGGCGACAACAAGGGAGAGGCCGAGGCCAAGUUCAAGAAGAUCUCCGAGGCCUACGAGGUAUAUAUCAUAUGGGCACUGUAUAAUUAAUUUGUUGCAGCUAAACCUGAAUGAUUUACAAUGCUAAUCCUUCUUGGAAAUGCGCCGUGCGAAAUAAAUUUAGCAGCAAAUGAUAGCAUCUGUUUCGUCGUGCGAUUCAGAAAAUGUUUCUGAUGAUGCAAAAUCGGAGGGAAUCCUCUUUUUUUCUUUUUGCAAUCAUGUCGUUUAUUGCACAUUGCGUUUCAGGUUAUGUCAACCUGGAUUUUUGCAGGCACACAAAAAAUGUUGUGCCUGCUUUCAAGGUUCAUAUGUAUAUGUUUAGACAGUUCAAGAAAUCUGUGAUUAGUUCUUUUGUUCUGAAGAAUGCUGCUCAAAUUGCUGAAUUUUGUGACCAAUGUCUAUUGCCUUUCAGGUUCUGAGUGAUCCUCAGAAGAGAGCGAUAUAUGAUCAGUACGGGGAGGAGGGCCUGAAGGCAUCUGCAGACAACGGUGGCUCGUCAUCGUCAUCGAUGAAUGGCACCGCUAACCACCGUUUUAAUCCCCGGAAUGCCGAGGAUGUGUUCGCUGAGUUCUUCGGUAGCAGCAAGCCUUUUGAGGGGAUGGGGCGUGCCAAGUCGAUGAGAUUCCAGACAGAAGGCGCUGGCACCUUUGGUGGGUUCGGUGGUGGUAAUGACAGCAAAUACAGAUCAUACAAUGAUUCCGCUGGCACCAGCUCUAGCCAGCCCCGGAAGCCACCAGCUGUGGAGACGAAGCUGUCCUGCACGCUUCAAGAGCUAUACUCUGGUUCAACGCGCAAGAUGAAGAUAUCUAGGAACGUGGUGAAGCCUAAUGGGUAAUCCCACUGUUUCCUGUGAAAUUCCUGCAAGAUUUCAAUGAAUCCCUGCUUUCCAAACUGGAAGUACAUUGAGAUGUCAAGAACAUGACGAUUGAUGCAUUGCCAUUUCGUUUCUGUCCCAAAAUGCAUUUUACUUACCUGCUGAUUUUUUAACAGGCAACUGGGGACUGAAUCCGAGAUUCUGACGAUCGAUAUAAAGCCCGGGUGGAAGAAAGGGACCAAGAUCACAUUCCCAGACAAGGGCAAUGAGCAGCCAAACCAGCUCCCUGCAGAUCUCAUCUUCGUCAUCGAUGAGAAACCCCAUGAUCAGUACACAAGGGAAGGCAACGACCUCCUGGUCUAUCAGAAGAUUGACCUGGUGGAUGCAUUGGCAGGAACCACGGUUAACCUGAAGACCCUUGACGGGCGUGAUCUGGUGAUAAAGCUGACAGACGUGGUGACACCAGGGUAUGAGCUUGCAAUCGCAAAGGAGGGGAUGCCUAUCGUCAAAGAGAACGGGAGGAGAGGAAAUCUGAGGAUCAGGUUCGACGUUGAUUUCCCAAAGAGGUUGUCAUCGGAGCAGCGGCAGAAUAUUAGGAAGGUUCUUGGAGGGCAACCUUAGCAGCAAUGAUCAAACCCCGGAUGCAAAUUCAGCUACCCUCUAGUUCUCCACGAAAUGCAGACUAAUUCAGAUGUUCUUCUUUUUCAGUUGGCUUGUAUGUCUAGUUACUUUUGGUUUGCAGGAAUUUCCUGAUUUGCUCCUUUGUUGACAAGAUAGCAAUAUUAAUUGUUGACUAGAUACAGAUUACAGUGUGACAUUGAAUUUUUUUUUUCACCUCUUCUAUUGCAUGUUUCAACAUUCAUUUGCAAAUAUAACAGAUUUCGAUCUCUUGCCUUUUGUGAAUUGUCAUGCUCUUUGAAGUAAAAAUAUUCUGAGUAAUGCCGAGCGCUCAAAUUUGAAAACAUUGCCAAAUUUGUUUUUGAUCAGUAGGAUGGCGGUUUAGUUCAUCAUCUUCCAACAAAUCUCUCCUAUUUCAAAUUCGACUUCAACCGAUAAAUAUGAAUCAAAUCACACCAGCAAAUCCAUACCCUUGAUAACCCAUACAAUUCAAAAGAAAAGUGUCAUGCCACGGUGGGGGAACUUUGGGUUAGACGGACCAACUUUUACAUAGAUUUAGGCUAAUUUGGAGAGACAAAUAGGCUAAGUACUUCAACAAAUGUUUUAAGGUGAAGGAGCAUCAAAUCUCUACUUAUAAGCAUUAACAUUGCGCAACUCAAAAAAAUACGUAUUGCAAUUAGAGACAAGUGGAUCCAGACAUGUUUCUGAAAUUUGGUUUGAACAUAAAUUUGAAACCUAUCAAACAUUUCUCACCCAGCACAGACCUUACCCACCUAUUCGUAAAUAGCAACGGCCUCGCUUGAAAAACGGGCCCCACCCUCUUCCUCCCUACAAAAAAAACGACACUUUUCGCGGUUCCCUUUCCAAGCCGUAAUUUUUUUCGCGCGCCCGCCGAAACCACCGCGUCCGGGAGCCGUCGGAUCGCGAAACGGACGGUGUUCGAUCGAUGAAGCAGGCGGAGGAGAACUCGGCGGCGGCCGCCGGCGCCGCCCAGGAGCCGCCAACGCCGACGCCGACGGUGUGGUACGACCCGAUGUCCCCGACGUCGUCUCCGACGGCGCCACGGCCGCCCGUCAGGGUUUACGCCGACGGCAUCUACGAUCUCUUCCACUUCGGCCAUGCCCGCGCGCUCGAGCAGGCCAAGAAAUCGUGAGCCCCGUUGGACCCUCUUCUCAAUCACGAUUUCCUUUCUUGUUUCUUUCUCUGAAAGCAUUGACAACAUUGUUUCUGAAUUUCUGACACCAAUUUCUGAAUCUCUGGCAUGGAUUUGUUGUCUUCGUCAGAUUCCCCAACACGUACUUGCUGGUGGGCUGCUGCAGCGACGAGGUGACCAACUGGUACAAAGGCAAGACCGUCAUGACCGAGGAGGAGCGCUACGAAUCGCUUCGCCAUUGCAAGCAAGCAACCUUCUGUUUUCUACUUUACCUCCUCCGUUUCUGAAUUUUACCUUUUGUUCUUAUUACUGUCCCAUUUCUGAAUCUUGUUGAAGAUGGGUGGACGAGGUCAUACCCGAUGCUCCAUGGGUCAUCGACGAGGAGUUCCUCGACAAGCACCGCAUCGACUACGUUGCUCACGACGCUCUCCCGUGAGUGUGUACAUACUAUAUUUAUGCAGCAUUGCAUAUUUCAAAUCAAUCUAUGUAUCUAAUAUAGAUGACAGGUGUUCGAGAAACAAAAAUCUAUGACUCUGUGUUUUGUUGAUCAGUUUGUGAAAAGUGUAAUUGACUCACUUCAUGUGAUUUGUUUUCAGGUAUGCAGACGCAAGUGGAGCUGCCAACGAUGUCUAUGAUUUUGUUAGAAUUGAAUAUCUGAAUCCCCUCCUCAUUUUUUUUUUGGACUAAGCAAUGCUGAUGGUCAGCUAACUGGAAAAUGUGUUGUUUGGGCAGGUCAAGUCCAUUGGCAAGUUCAAGGAGACGAAGCGCACCGAUGGCAUCUCAACAUCGGACAUCAUCAUGAGGAUUUUGAAGGAUUACAACCAGUACAUCAUGCGGAAUCUGACCCGGGGGUACUCCCGCAAAGACCUUGGUGUGAGCUAUGUCAAGGUGAUCAUCAGUUCCAGCAGUAACAUCUCCCAAAGCAAAGGAAGGACACCAAGCACUAAUGAAUUACGUGUUUUCUAUUACUGUAAUGUGAUCAGGAGAAGCAAUUGAGAGUGAACAUGGGGAUUAGCAAGCUAAAAGAGAAGGUGAAGGAGCAUCAAGAGAAGGUGAUCCAAGUUACUCUACAAACCCCAAAAAAAUUCGGCAUAGAUCUUCACAUGAUUUUGCAAAUGAUAGUGAUAGUAACUUGGUAACGCAUAUGCAGAUUCAUAGUGCAGCAAAGAUUGCUGGAAGCAAUCCUGUGGAAUGGAUGGAGAAUGCCGACCGUUGUAUCGUUGGGUUUCUUGAAAAGUUUGAGGAAGGUUGCCACAUGAUGGUAAGCAAGUCUUUGAUUAAUUUAAUUUAUCCGCAGUUGUCAAUACAGUAUUUGGUGAUUAUGGAUCGUGUUAUUUAUUUGACAGGAAACUGCAAUUAAAGAUCGAAUUCAGGAGGGGCUGAAGAGGAGAUCCAAAUCAGAGUCGGAGCUGAACCUUUCUGGAUCGGACUCGGACUCAUAAAGAUGUUUGUGGGAAUCAGAUUCCUGCAGUAAAUGUAUAGUAUUAGAUUAGCAUGUUGUUAUAGCCUUGUAAGACAUCAAACUGCAACGGUGGUUUAUAAUAGGAGGUUAUGUACCAUUGAGAACAAUAAUUUUUUGCGGUGACCGAUCAGUCUCUGUUUCUUAAAGAUUGCUCAUUUGCAUUUUGCCUCCUAAAUGACAUUAUUCCUCUGAGAAACUUGGAUUUGCAGUACAUGAUCUCAUUCUUGUGAUUAUGUUUGUCAAUGGCCAUGUGUUAUUUUUAUUUAUUUCUUUUCGAGGAACCGGCAGGAUAGAAGUUAUUUACAGUGCUGCCUUUUCAUUAAGAAUGAUAGAAGUUAUUUACAGUGAGGAGCAGGUUUUUUGAGGGGAAAUGCCGAGGAAACCCCAACGAGAACAAGAAAAAACUAGUCGGGCUGUAGCACUGUGUGAUGUCCUCGAAGCUCGCAGGCAAGAUGAGUGACUUCGACCUAAUUGAGAAGCUUAAGAGUGAAAAUGCGACAGUUCGCUCCUUCCUGGCUUUCCACCAGACGUAGAUAAGUCAACCACUUUGCUUCCUCUUAAUGUCCUUGCCAGAAAGGAAAAGGGAGGCGUCCCACCACUCCUCUGAUUGCUUCUCCUGAAUAAGAUCAUGUGUAAUUUUAUUGGCCAUGUGCUAUUGCCACCAACUAAAUAUCAUUCAUAUACUUCUCCCUUUUCUUUCAGCUACCAUGAUAUAGUUUUCAGGGUAGUAUUGGUUAUACACUUAUACAUGAAGAUGCAAUUGGUAGCGGUUCGUCAGAUUUAGAUAAGCUGGAGCUAGCCUAUUUGCAGAACCCAAUGUUACAAUAAUGUAUUUUUAGCAACCAAGAACUAAAUUUAACACAUGCACAUGGAGAAUUCUGUUGAUUCAGAAACACCUAACGAAAAUAAUAUUUGUUAUCCUGAGUCAUACUCCUAGUAUACCAUCAAAACAAUUUCCCCUCUACAUACGAAUACUAGAAACGGAAGCUAGCUAUUUUCUAAUCUUGCCACCAACAAUUCGGUCCUGAUACUACAGUAUCACAUAAAACUUUGAUCAUCAUACAACACAACUCAAGAAAUUAAGCAGAAACAGUUCAUUGUCAUUCACCCUGGACUUCCUGUUUUACAUAAUGAUUUGAUUAUUUGGGAAACUGUUGUCUUCAAUGAUUUCACUGUCUCAUUGUCAGUUCUUCACCUAUGCCCUCUGAAAUACAUGUAUACUCCCUGCAAAACAGUAGAUUUGGAAGGAUGUCAUGAAACCACAGAAACUGUAGGAUGUCAUGUAUGUUCACUAAUUGCGCAUGUAAUAAUAUGGUAAAGGCACAACAAAAGCUGAUCAUUUCUGGUAGUCGAGGAGCCAUACUAGAAAGCAAGGAAACAACAAAAGUUUCUAGGCAUAUUCUUUUUUAGUUCCUCUCAAAAAAAUUGUUUUUCUUUGUUGAGCUUGCAACCAAGUGAACUUAUAAGAGUGAUAGUACAAACAAAGAGAAGAUGUUCCAUGAAAACAACAAUGUGAAAGAAAUGAAAGGUGGAACCGACAAUAACCUCAAGAACCCAAAUACUCAUAAGCGAUUCCGCAGUAAAUAAUAUGAAUCCAAUUAGAUACAGUACCUGCAUUACUCCAAAAAGGACACAAUUAAGGACUCACGGCAAGUUUUAGUGCUGAAGUAAAAUAUGUUCAAAGUUAACCAUAAUAGCGCAGAAGAACUAACCCCGACGAACAUAUCUCCGCUUAAAACAUCGAUAGCAACAAGAAUUCCCCUGAUUUCAGGUAAAGAACUGUAUCGAACUAUUGCAGUUGGAAACUUUGGCAAAAUGAAAAAUGCUUGACUUACGUAAGAGUUUUUCCCAUGAAUAUUAUUGGAGGAGCAAUUGCAGCAAUGACACAAAAUCCAACAUGCACCUGGCACAUAUCAAGCCAUCACUAUGCUCACCAGUGCAUUACCAUAGGAUCAAACAUAAAGAUAGAAAAAUGCAAUAGGGUUAUCUUUUUAGUUGAAGGUUAUUAGCAUGUGGAACUCAGCUCGGUGUAUAAAUAGAAGUACCGAGUAGAAGAUGAAAAACUGGCCAAAGGUCACCACGCUAUCGGUUCUGGUGUACAAAGGUAAGAUAAUUUUGUUACCAUAUUGGCAUUCUCAUAGAGCAUUUCCAGAUAAUGGUAAUUUACUUGGAAUUUUAAUUGAAAAGAAACCUCAUGGCCUGGUACAGAGGCCUGUACCAUAGUAUGUAUGAAAGAGGACAUCCAAAUAUUGCAUAGAUGACGGCAAGGAGAAAAAGAACAAUAUCUGCCAUAAAAAGGAGACAUGAUGUAAAAUAUGCAUGCUUAAGAAAAUGGUUUAUCUGGCAAGAUAUUUAGCACCUUCCAUGUGAAUUGAUUCGACUAAAACUGCAAAGACAUUCCAACUGAGACAGACAACAAUUCCUGCAAGAAGAGCAGCCGAUGAACAGGAGCUGAACUGAUGAUACUUCGUUCUUAUCUAUGUUGAAAACUAUCAGCAAUAAUCUCAAUUAAUAGGAGAAAACUGAUGUAAGGGUAAAAACCUAGCCAACUAGCAAAUGCUGAGUACUGCAACUUUUGAGCAUGGAUGGGUAUUUCAUUGGCUAUAUCAUGAUGUAUGAUGGGGAAGAACGGUGGCCAAUUUUUCACUUCGACCAUGACACCGGCUGCACAACCAGAUGUAUAUUUCAGAAUUCAGACAAAACGUGAAAGCAUGAUGGAUUUAUCUUAUGAUGCUCUCUUAGGACUACCUCUGUUCAUUGUAUUCUCCCUUUGUAUGAUAUCCUGCAACAAAAGUCACACUUCUGAUUCUGAAAACUCUUUGAGGACUCACUUUCAUAAAUUUGUUGACUAGAAAGACAAUAAUUAUUGGACAUAUGAAGCAACCCAAAUGAACAUAUGACACUCUAAGAUUACGAAAUAAUUGUGGAAGUGAAUCUAUAGGAUUUCUAAUUAAGUGAAAAGGAGAACGGACCCGCUCUCUCCUCUUCAAAUCCUCCUCCCACGAUAAGAGCUCUUUCUCCCGCUUCCUCGGAUCCUACAUGAAUUAGGAUUAUCAUUAGGUGUACCAAGAACACAAUAUUAUCUUGUGUAUGAACAAUGUAUACAUAUAGUGGGAUGUCGAUGGUGGCGCCAUGGUUAAUGCUGCCUCCAAAGCCCGCCGGGAUCCAGGAUUUCUUCGAUGGAGCUGGUGCCAAUGCCUGUCCAUUAUGAAAUACAAACGAUAUGUCCCAAGAAAAUAACAAUCAACUGUCAUCAUGAUUCUUCACAAAAAAUGACACUGAAAUAACACCCCGCUUAAACUCAGGCUGCAUACUGAACUACAUGAGAGUUGGAUUGUUCUAUUAGUAUGCAUAGAAAAUGAUCAGAUCAGAUAAGUCCAAUGGAAAAUCAAGAUAUAAAAGUUGAAUAAUUUGAUCUAAUCUCAAUAAAUCUAUCCAAAGAAACCUCGCAAGCAGACCAGAAUGCAAAACGAUUCAGAGCAUUUUGUUCUUCUAAGAAAUUCAAUCCAGACAGUCUCGAUACAGAGAUCAUCAGAACGCAUGGGUCUUUUUUUUAACCAAAGUUAAUCUGGACAUGAGAAACAAUGCUCCAAAGAGAAAUGUCUCAUCAAAAGACAAAUAAUUUGAACCCCAAAUAAGAAGAAGAAACAUGUAAAGUCUGGAAUACCGCUGUAGGAUUGACAUUUUCGUCUUCAAACGGAUUUGUGUUACGAGACAUCAUUAGGAAGAUCCCUCGGCAUGAAUAAAUCCCUGUGUUGUCUACCUUUGGGAUGAGCCGAAAUCUGUGCUGCAAUAAAUCUGUGCAUGGCCAACGAAAGGAAGUUAGUUAUUUUCAGUUAAUGCUGGCCGUCUAGCGCUUUGGUCCUUAUUGGUUGUUACAUUCCAAUACCAUCAGCCCCUCGUUUUAUUACGUUUUACCUUUUUUAUCCCUUCUUCCUCUCAUUUUGGAAAGUGUAGGAAUUCUUACAGAACUGUUGAUUCGUAAUCUCACAGAAUUCACGAAAAAUCCUGGGUUGUUAGUUUUGUCUUUUAAGCAGUUUAGUACAUGCACGUUAUAGACUGUAAGAAAUCAGAACAGAAAGAAACACAGUAGGCCUGCGAAGUGGAAUUUGAUGGAGCUGAAGAGACAGAAUCAAUUUCAUGCCCCGUUAAACAUAACAACUGCAUCCAGUAUCCACAUUGCAGUGAGCUCGAUACAGAAAAUGCAUUGAUUCAGAAAUGAGACAAAUGCCGUCUAUAGAAGAUCAAUCUGAAGUUAACGCGGCGUUAUUAUGCCAUACACAGUAGGAGGAAUUUUCACAGAUAACACUUUGCUAUCAAGCGUAAUACACAAUACACUGGCAGACAUUGUAAACCAAAUAAGGAGGCAACAAAUCCAAAUUUCUGCAGUAUCUUCUCUAUUUAGUGAUGGUGGUCUUGAACAUAGCGAAGACCACAGUAUUUGCACACAGCAGGGGCCUCCAGAUCAAGGCAGAUAUACUCGAUUGGAUGGCCAAGGGCAGGGUUACUAUCUGUAUAUAUAAUCCAAAUGGAAACAGUCAGCCUUGCAGAAAAUGAAUGCCCAUGACUCCAUGGGUGAGUAUAUUAAUAUAUGUAGCAAGCGAAAAAGGGACCGAAGCACGGUAAUGAGAAUUUGUAAAAAAAAAAAAAAAAAAGCAGGCUAGAGUUUGCUUUCGCCUACCCCCUUCACAAGCGACAAUUCGCCCUUCAACCUUGAUCGGCGGCACCUCAUUGAUCAGUUCCAUCGGAGAUUUCUUGCUUGUGUCCUGCGAUAAAUAAAAUCAGAGAGGAUCAAAAAUUAUAAACACUCCUUUCAAAAGAAAAAUUAUAAACACUGGCAAUAUAAUGAGUGACAAAAAAUAUCACUGUCUUCAACCAAUAAAGCUCACAAAUUAGGUAGUUGUGCAACUUAAGUUGUGAAUAUCACACGACAAACUCAUGCCAACUACCUGGUAUAUUGGUAUAAGUACAAAUUCUGCUAUCUUUGAGGAUAUGGGAAUCCCAAAGCUAAGAAUUGACUUUCAGGCAUCACUUUUUGACAGCGCAAGGAAUAUUGGUCUUUACUCAGUUCAACAAUUGACCUCUCAUAUAUUAUUGCUGCAGUAGCCACUUGCUAUAGUAGUUCCCAGAAAAGCCUCAAAAUGAUACACGUCGUUUAAGUUUUACUCAGUGAAUAGGCGAAAACCAAAAUCGAUACUGUCCAAGUAUGGUAGGAUGGUGUUGGACUACUGGGCUGCUGGCUGUGACAUUAUUGUAACAGAAAUACAAUUGGAAGAUUAUUCAGAUACAUCAUAAGCUCUUGCAUACAUUCUUAUCUGUAACCUAUGACAUGAAAUGAGGAGAAAACGGUUUCACUUGAUCAACAAGGUCGAUAUAACAAAUUGUUAGAAGGGAGGUCCAGCCAUAAGUCGGUAAAACAUCUGUAACCUAUGACAUGAAGAAAUGAAGUAAUACAAAAAGGAAAAGAAAGAGAAAACAAAAAUCAUGAUCAACUAAGCCCUCUCGAGGGCUUGCUUAAGAAUAAGAAAGAAGAAUCUUAUGGAAAUGGAAUAAGGUUUGAUCCUAUUCAUGGGGAUUCCGUAAAUAUGCCAUUCCAAAAAUAGAAACAAUCGGGACUUUUCGGAGAUUGGAUGCAGUUACUAAUUCAUGAUCUGGCAUGUACAGAAUGAAAACUUCAUUCUCGAUUCUACGAGAAUUUUUAUGAAAGCGCUUCAUUUGCUUCUCUUCCAUGGAAGUUUCAUUUUCCCAGAAUGUAUCCUAAUUUUUGGCCUAAUUCUUCUUCUGAUGAUCGAUUCAACCUCUGAUCAAAAAGAUAGACCUUGGUUCUAUUUCAUCUCUUCAACAAGUUUAGUAAUAAGCAUAACGGCCCUAUUGUUCCGAUGGAGAGAAGAACCUAUAAUUAGCUUUUCGGGAAAUUUCCAAACGAACAAUUUCAACGAAAUCUUUCAAUUUCUCAUUUUAUUAUGUUCAACUUUAUGUAUUCCUCUAUCCGUAGAGUACAUUGAAUGUACAGAAAUGGCUAUAACAGAGUUUCUGUUAUUCGUAUGUAUAUUUAAAACAAUCUACUAAUGGUCUGCUGACUGCCAAGCUUCAGCAAAGAUAUAGAAACAAACUUAAAAGACACACAAUGCAUCAAGAUAUAAUGUGUCAAAAAAACAACAGAAUGAGUGCAUGUUACGGGACAUGCAAGGAUUACACAUCUCAUCAAGGAUAAUCGAAGAAACUACAAACCAGCUGUGCCUUCCUUCACUG